GUGGGGAAUCUUAGACAAUGGGGGAAACCCUGAUCUAGCCAUGCCGCGUGAGCGAUGAAGGCCUUAGGGUUGUAAAGCUCUUUCAGCUGGGAAGAUAAUGACGGUACCAGCAGAAGAAGCCCCGGCUAACUCCGUGCCAGCAGCCGCGGUAAUACGGAGGGGGCUAGCGUUGUUCGGAAUUACUGGGCGUAAAGCGCGCGUAGGCGGACCAGAAAGUUGGAGGUGAAAUCCCAGGGCUCAACCGGGGAACUGCGUUCGAUACUGCGAGGCUUGAGUCCUGGAGAGGGUGGCGGAAUUCCGAGUGUAGAGGUGAAAUUCGUAGAUAUUCGGAGGAACACCAGUGGCGAAGGCGGCUCACUGGCUCGAUACUGACGCUGAGGUGCGAAAGCGUGGGGAGCAAACAGGAUUAGAUACCCGGGUAGUCC
rnacentral:rRNA from 1 species